rnacentral:rRNA from 1 species
UACGGGGGGGGCAAGCGUUGUUCGGAAUUACUGGGCGUAAAGGGCUCGUAGGCGGCCAACUAAGUCAGACGUGAAAUCCCUCGGCUUAACCGGGGAACUGCGUCUGAUACUGGAUGGCUUGAGUUUGGGAGAGGGAUGCGGAAUUCCAGGUGGAGCGGUGAAAUGCGUUGAUAUCCUAAGGAACACCGGUGGCGAAAGCGGCUCACUGGAUCUUAUCUGACGCUGAGGCACGAAAGCCAGGGUAGCAAACGGG